AUUUAUAUAAUAUAAGUGAUUAUUUUUAACUUCCAAUUAAAAAAUUUAGACAACCUAAUAUAAAUA
rnacentral:tRNA from 1 species